CCAAUAGCGUAUAUUAAAGUUGUUGCAGUUAAAAAGCUCGUAGUUGAAUUUCGGGAUCAAUUAAUUGGUCGUGCCUCUGGUACGUACUGAUUUUAUUGGUUUCUCCCUUCUGACGAACCAUCAUGUCAUUAAUUUGGUGUGGUGGAGAAUCAGGACUGUUACUUUGAAAAAAUUAGAGUGUUUAAAGCAAGCUAACGCUUGAAUACAUUAGCAUGGAAUA
rnacentral:rRNA from 1 species